GUAGCCUUUCGAAAGGAAGAUUAAUACCGCAUAAGAUUGUAGUAUCGCAUGAUAUAGCAAUUAAAAGGAAGCAAUCCGCUAUAAGAUGGACCCGCGUCGCAUUAGCUAGUUGGUGAGGUGAUGGCUCACCAAGGCGACGAUGCGUAGCCGACCUGAGAGGGUGAUCGGCCACAUUGGGACUGAGACACGGCCCAGACUCCUACGGGAGGCAGCAUG
rnacentral:rRNA from 1 species